rnacentral:pre_miRNA from 2 species
GUAUUGUUGCUGCAGCUGGUGUUGUGAAUCAGGCCGACAACAAGCGCAUCCUACUAUCCGGCUAUUUCACUACACCAGGGUUGCAUCAUACCAC